GCAGUCGACGCUUUGUCUUUAACUGAUCUGACGAGCUUGCUCUGAUUUGAUUUUAUCUGACAAAGAGUGGCGAACGGGUGAGUAACACGUGGGUAACCUACCUCUUAGCAGGGGAUAACAUUUGGAAACAAGUGCUAAUACCGUAUAAUACCAACAACCGCAUGGUUGUUGGUUGAAAGAUGGUUCUGCUAUCACUAAGAGAUGGACCCGCGGUGCAUUAGCUAGUUGGUAAGGUAACGGCUUACCAAGGCAAUGAUGCAUAGCCGAGUUGAGAGACUGAUCGGCCACAAUGGGACUGAGACACGGCCCAUACUCCUACGGGAGGCAGCAGUAGGGAAUCUUCCACAAUGGGCGCAAGCCUGAUGGAGCAACGCCGCGUGUGUGAUGAAGGGUUUCGGCUCGUAAAACACUGUUAUAAGAGAAGAACGGCACUGAGAGUAACUGUUCAGUGUGUGACGGUAUCUUACCAGAAAGGAACGGCUAAAUACGUGCCAGCAGCCGCGGUAAUACGUAUGUUCCAAGCGUUAUCCGGAUUUAUUGGGCGUAAAGCGAGCGCAGACGGUUAUUUAAGUCUGAAGUGAAAGCCCUCAGCUCAACUGAGGAAUGGCUUUGGAAACUGGAUGACUUGAGUGCAGUAGAGGAAAGUGGAACUCCAUGUGUAGCGGUGAAAUGCGUAGAUAUAUGGAAGAACACCAGUGGCGAAAGCGGCUUUCUGGACUGUAACUGACGUUGAGGCUCGAAAGUGUGGGUAGCAAACAGGAUUAGAUACCCUGGUAGUCCACACGUAACGAUGAGUGCUAGAUGUUCGAGGGUUUCGUCCUGAUGUCGCAGCUACGCAUAAGCACUCGCUGGGGAGUACGACCGCAAGGUUGAAACUCAAAGGGAUUUGACGGGG
rnacentral:rRNA from 1 species